AAGCUAGCAAGUGUCAAGUUAAUCCACAUCACCACAAACGUCUUUUCAAGCCAGAGUGGAGAGGAGGAAGACUGGAUAGGAAGAAGAGUGAAAGAGAUAGAGGAGGAAAGAUUGGAUAGGAAGGAGAAGGAAAAAUGAAGGGAGUAAAAAGAGUGAAGCAAGGAGAGUGUGGAAGAGUGAGGUGGAAAGGUAAAGAGAAGGAAAGGAAGAAAGAACAGGAAGACGAGUGAAGAGAAGAGGAGAAAGAUUGGAGGAGAAGAAAAAGUUAAGAGAGAAAGAAGAGUCACACAAAGAGAGUGAACAAGAGCAGACAGAGGAAGUACAAUGGCUCUUUGUUAAUGACAACAUGAUGAGAGAAUUUCCAUUUAUACGCUCAGGUCAAGACGAUAGAAUGGUUAACUGCACCCUUUGUAAUUCUUCUUUUUCAAUUGGCAGCGGGGGAAGAACGGCAGUGGUAGAACAUCAACAGACGAAAAAGCAUAAAGCCUGUCUGAUUGCCCAUGUUGGUAUCUAGCUAGCUGUGCAGGAGGGUGUCUUUGCAUACCACACUAUGCGACACAAUCAUAGUUACAGAUCUAUGGACUGCACAGCACAACUCACACGGAAGCUUUAUGAGCCAAAGUUUACUCGUGCUAGGACAAAAUGUGAAGCCACAGUGAGUAACGUGUUAGCACCAUGGGCAACUACUUUGGUAACACAGGACCUAGACCAGGUUGAAUUUGUGUCCCUGUCCGUUGAUGCGUCCAAUCAUGGACAUGUAAAGCUGCUGCCAAUACUAGUUAGAUAUUAUAAGAUAUAUGAUGGCAGCACAUCUGUGGAAACAAAACUGCUUGAUUCUGUUGAAUUGAAAGGAGAAACAGCAGAGGAAAUUGCAGCUGAGGUCCUGGCGGUCAUCCAAAAAUGUAACCUGGAAAACAAAGUCUUGGCAUUCUCUGCCAACAACACAAAUACAACCUUUGGUGGACUGAAUAGGCUGGGAAGGGUCAAUGUCCAUACCAAAGUUAAAAAUGCUCUGCAGCAGGAGGUGAUUGACUUAGGUUGUCCUUCCCACAUCAUUCAUAACACGGCCAGAACAGCUUUGGAUAUGAUUCCCCUUGAUGUUGUGUACCUGCUCACAAAGAUAUUUGGAUAUUUUCAUAUUUUCACCGUCAGAGUAGAAAGACUGAAGAGCUUUUGCGAUUUUGUUGGCCAGGAGUACCAUAACAUUUUAGGACACAGCAAUGUUCGCUGGCUGUCCAUGCUCCCUGCUCUAGAAAGAGUGCUGAAAAUGUAUGUGCCAUUGAAAAUGUAUUUCUGAAGACAAAUGCCCUGUUGUCCUGCGGACAAUGUUUGUAGAUCCACUGUCUGAGCUUUGGCUGGCCUUUGUCUAUGGAAACUUGACUGUAUUCAGUGACACGAUCAAGAUGCAUGAAGGCUAGGACCACUGUGCUGUGGAGUCCGCUGCAAUUCUGAGAAACAUUGAGGCAACAUUGACUGCAAGACGUGAUGACAACUUCAUUCCAGUUUUGGUCAGAGGACUUCUGAGAGCUAGAGGAAAAUGGAGCCAUGUCUAAAGAGACUUUUCUCACAUUCUUCACUAAGCUCUGAACUACAUGCAAACAUGGGGAAAGCACACAGAUAAUCUAAAAGAUUGACAUUGUCUCCUUUUAAAAAGGCAACCUCAGCGUGAAGAGAUCCAGAAGGCAGCAGGCACACUGCAGGAAAAAUGCCCCAAUGCGACCAUCAAUGAGGAUGCAUUGUUUGACGAGGUUACUGGCCUGCAAGAGUUCCUAAAGGGGGGAUCGCUUGAAGAAUGGGAAACAUCUGAGACACCGCUUAGUCAGAGAUGGAGCACGGUGGUUACCCACUUCAAAGAGAAUGACAUCCCACACACUAACCUGCCUAGGUUAGCGUCUGUUGUCAUGUGCUUACCUGGAAGUAAUGCACCGGUCGAGAGAGUGUUCUCCCAAAUGAAUGAUCUAUGGACAGCAGCAAGAAAUAGGUUCAUUGUUCCUACCAUCAAGGCCAUGCUUAUUGUGAAGACAAACUUCAACCUUCCCUGCAAAGAGUUCAUGGAGAAGCUGGCCAAAGACAGAGCAAUUCAGAAGAAGAUACAUUCUUCUGAGAAAUAUACAGAUUAGGUUGGUAUCAGUAUACAAUGUAGGUACCAACCUCAUCAUCGUCUUAUUUCUUUAUGUUGUUAAGUAUUCCAGUAUAUACUAUUGUCUGUUUAUUCAAUUUUGCUCAUGUUCUCUUCUGCUCUUAUUCUACCCAGACUACCUGGACCACUGAAUGGCUGUUCAGAUCAGACAGUUCUGUCUCGUCUGUAGUGUUUCUGUAAUAUAGUUGUUUUCUCUGUUUAUCACAGUGGGCCUGUUAGACUAAUUACAUGAAACCGGAAUUGUCUCCCUUUUUCAUUUCAUAGAUAAUAACAUUGGAUACUGUAAUGAUAUAUUGACCACCGAGCUGGAAAUGUCCCCGGUUUUAAUUUCAGAA